rnacentral:rRNA from 1 species
AUUGAACGCUGGCGGCAUGCUUUACACAUGCAAGUCGAACGGUAACAGGGUGCUUGCACCGCUGACGAGUGGCGAACGGGUGAGUAAUGCGUCGGAACGUGCCGAGUAGUGGGGGAUAACGCAGCGAAAGUUGUGCUAAUACCGCAUACGUACUGAGGUAGAAAGUGGGGGACCUUCGGGCCUCACGCUAUUCGAGCGGCCGACGUCUGAUUAGCUAGUAGGUGAGGUAAAGGCUCACCUAGGCGACGAUCAGUAGCGGGUCUGAGAGGAUGAUCCGCCGCACUGGGACUGAGACACGGCCCAGACUCCUACGGGAGGCAGCAGUGGGGAACUUUGGACAAUGGGCGAAAGCCUGAUCCAGCCAUGCCGCGUGUCUGAAGAAGGCCUUCGGGUUGUAAAGGACUUUUGUCAGGGAGGAAAUCCCUAGUGCUAAUAACACUGGGGGAUGACAGUACCUGAAGAGUAAGCACCGGCUAACUACGUGCCAGCCGCCGCGGUAA